GGCUGUAAACACACAAUGAUGAACACGUCACAUCCAACAGGAUUAGUUUUGAGGAGAAGACACAUGUUGCUGCCUUAUUUCUUUGCUUUCCUGGAUCUACUGGUGGGAAGGCGACGUGGAUACCUGCUCAGAGUUGCUCCCACGAGGGCCUUUGCUGGGGCAGAAUGAGGGAGAAUAUCUGCAAGCAAAGCUGCCACCCAAUUGGAUGGCCCUGUUGUAUGAUGGCAACCCACUGCUGAUUGAAGCAGUCUCGCAAAAUGCUCCCUUUUGGUGGAAGGCAUUAAGAAAUCGAUCUUUUGGUGGAAAUGGGCAAGACUGGCUGGAUGCUUUCAAAAGAUACGUUCUCUAUAUAAUAACGUUAAUGAAGAUUUCAUUCUAGGAAAAACGUAUUUAGUAUGAUGAUACAGAUGUACUCUGAUUGCAUGAAUGUAAUACAGGAAAACUCGUGCCCUUUACAUGUGUGUAGCUUGCUGUAGUAAAUCAAGUACUAUAUCUUUAAACACAUUACGGAAUCAUUGGCAGUUAAGUCACAUAUUUAGCUUUUGCUUUUAUAUUCUCUGUUAUGAUAGUGUUUGCAUCAGCAUCUUUGUGCUACAGAAAUUCUAUAAAUAAUUCAUGCCUUUAUUUAAAUAACUGUGGAUUUAUUUCCAAUUGGCAUGGAAAAAGCCUUUAUUUUCUGUAUCAUUGUGCACAGUUGUCAUACUAGCCUCUUAUUUCAAAAUGUUUGUGAUUCACUCAGAACACAUCAGUAAAUCAAAUUACAGCCAACUUAGCCUGAAAUUUAAUUAGAUGAUCAACGAUCAUAGUUCUCUACUUUCCUAAUAUAAAGUGUCUUAUUGCAGACGGUUUACAAGGCCUUGUCUCCAUACCAGAAGGCAUUACUCUUGAAACAACACGGCAAAACAUUUAAAAAGUUCUAUUGAUUGGCCUCUCUUGAAUAACAAUGGGCCCUAAGAGUCAUUCUGGAUUACUUAAUGAUGUGUAACUGGUCUUAGCAAAGCAGCAAGGAAUGUAACUGUUCUUGUGGCUCUCCUGGCUCUGCAACCCUCGUUCUUGUAGCACUGGUCAACCUCUGGCCUCAGGGUCCCUUGUGAUGUGGAAGUUCUGGUGCAUCUCGCUGGCUGCAGCUCACAGAAGGGAUAUGAAGUUCUGGGAACUCCAUUCUCGUGAUGCAAGCCAAGCUGCGUUGCUCAGGAGAGAUACAGGAGCUGCACCAAGCUGACACAGCCCUGGCUGGGCAUACAUUUCCAGAUUAGCAAGAUGUGUUAUGGAGAUACCAGCAAUGUGGAGAAGUUGUGCUGAUGGCAGUGUGGGAUGGCAGGAGGAGAACCACAGGCUAGGACAAGGAAUGGACUUAGAGCACUCAGCCCUGCAUCUCCUACGGCUGCCCACGCGUUCAGCUCUGUCUUCUGCUGACCAUGGCAGGUGGCCAGUGCAUAUUCAGCACUUCUCUACGCUGAUAUUUCAUCUUAGAAGGAAAACAAACCCUGGAGUUAUGCAUAGGAAGUUGAGAACUCAGUAUGUCUGCGCCGAGUUCCUCUCUUUGAUGGACUGGAAAUUGCUCUCUGCUCUUCAGCUGGAGACAAAACCUUUUUCUCCCUUAAGAGAAAGACUGCAAACAAGCUGCAGCUCACAGGUGUGUUGUUGGAGGGAGUUUCUGCAGCCUCUGCUAUCGGUGUGCAGCUCCAAUGCUGGGCACAAUUAUGAGUCUGUCAUUUCGAAUUACACUCUUAUUCCCAGCAUCCAGCAAUCUAUGAAACCAGAGCCACGUUUCAGAUUCCCGAGCCUAUAAAUUCUUCCAUUGUCAACGUUUGUUUUCAGAUUGAAGACAAGUGUAACGUUUCAGGUAAUGAAAAAGAUAUCGCUCUGAAUCUGUAAGUCCCUUACGUUGUUUUGAAAUCCUGCUUGCAUGCUACAUGUGGAUUCGAAAUGCUCUUGCUGCAUUUGUUCAUUGUAAUAAGUUCUGUAAAAAUAUUCCCCAUUAGUUUGCUUUGUGCUGAAGCUGGCACUAUUAGCUAUUCCACUCGAAUGCUCCGGUUAGAAAACUGUGAAUUUCUUUUCUUCUGUGAUUUUCUCCUCUGUGUUUUUCAUCUCAUCACUGAGAUGGAAAUAUUUUACCAGUUAAAUGGAGAAAAGAGCAGUUAAGGCAGAUGCUGUUUCAUCAUCUGCUAACACAGAGGUCCUCAGCAUGCAGAAUGGUGGCUUACUGCAACAAAUUAAGUGUACAAACUCUUCAUGCGGAAGAAAUGAUUUCUGAAUCCCCUCUGAAACCCCAUUUCUUCUGUAGAAAGAUGAGUUAAUGAAGAAAAUUACAAUUUCAUGUCUGUUAGUGCUAUAGAGAAACUUACUCUUUCUCUCAAAAGUAGUUUUCUAUUCUUUGUUGUUAUUUUAAAUUCCUUCAGCCAUGAUUUGGAUACAGUGGCUGUGAUUAUUCCUGUAGCUGAAACUUCCAUUUACUGCCUCUUCACUCAGGCAGAGUGAUGCCCUGUUACUGAGAAGGCACCUUGAUCUCUACAGGGUAGAAUCAUAGAACCACAGAAUAUCCUGAGCUGGAAGGGACACUUCAGGAUCAUCGAGUCUGGCUCUUGGCUCCACACAGGACCACCCAAAAUGAGCAAAAAGAAUAUAUAUCUUUCCUGUGCAAGAAGGCAUUAAAUCAUCUCUAAAGUUGUUUCACUCACACUAAAGGCUCUAGGAAAUCGCAUGUGGGGGUCUGGAGCCAGCGCUCAGAGAGCUGGGAAAGCAGCAGUGACCGCGCAGAGCUGUGGUGCACAUCCUAUGGGUGAACGAGCUCCACCUGCGAUCUGAGCUUCAAUAGCCAUGGGGGAAAGCUUACCAGCCUGCAUGGAAUUUUUUGGAAAAAGCAUCAGAGCAUGCUCUGUGAACUCUCUUAUGUGCUGGGAAUCUCCUUUCCAGGAAAAUCCUAGGAUUUAACAAUGAAAGGGGAGAAGGAAGUGCUUUGAUUUUGAAGAGGACAAGAGGGAAAUGCGAAUUGGAGACAUCUUUCAGAAGAGCCCUGGAUGUAUGAUGGUGCUCUUCAAGCUGUGUCUUGCAUCUUAAACAGAGCUUGAAAGGUUAACAAAACCCACAGACAGCCACACCGUGCUGAUUCAGUACAUUUUACAGAGUCCUUUGCACUAGGAAGCCUGGAUGGUUCCCAAGAGCGAGCAAUCUGGAAAUAAAAAUGUGUCUGAUCAAUAAAACGAAACGACUUGAGGAAA